rnacentral:rRNA from 1 species
UACGAAGGGGGCUAGCGUUGCUCGGAAUCACUGGGCGUAAAGCGCACGUAGGCGGACUCUUAAGUCGGUGGUGAAAUCCUGGAGCUCAACUCCAGAACUGCCUUCGAUACUGGGAGUCUCGAGUUCGGGAGAGGUGAGUGGAACUGCGAGUGUAGAGGUGAAAUUCGUAGAUAUUCGCAAGAACACCAGUGGCGAAGGCGGCUCACUGGCCCGGUACUGACGCUGAGGUGCGAAAGCGUGGGGGAGCAAACAGGG